UUAUCGGAGAGUUUGAUCCUGGCUCAGGACGAACGCUGGCGGCGUGCCUAAUACAUGCAAGUCGAGCGGACAGAUGGGAGCUUGCUCCCUGAUGUUAGCGGCGGACGGGUGAGUAACACGUGGGUAACCUGCCUGUAAGA
rnacentral:rRNA from 1 species